GCCAGGGUAGCUCAACGGCAGAGCUCCUGUUUUGUAAACAGGUGGUUGUCGGUUCGAAUCCGACCCCUGGCU
rnacentral:tRNA from 1 species